rnacentral:lncRNA from 1 species
UAUUUAAACAAGCAAUGAAAGGUUACUUUAGCGUUUAGGAAAGGCCUUAAAGAUAUUACUUUUCUGAGGCUUUUUAAAUUGCUUCUACAAUGCGCGUAUGUUUUUCCUGUAUAUAAAGCUGAUUAUGCUUUGUGGCUACCAGCUGAUUAUCCUAUUGUGGACUGAACUCCUGUUUUAAUACGUCAGAACACAGAAACUGCGCUCUUGAGCUCCUGGUGGCCACUCAAAUCAGCUACUCCAUUUCAGAAAGGGCUGUUCACUUUGGUUGAGUGAGCUGAGAUAUUUCUGAACUGACUUCUGUGAUCUUUCUGCCACUUUGUUUGCAGCAGCCGAAGCUGAGCAAUCAGUUGAUCACAUCUGAAAGCAGAACUGCACACACCAAGAGCACAGGUGCCUCCUGACAGGCGAGCUGUGGGGAGCGCAGCACAAGGACUGCUGUCGAUGCCCCCGACGGCCUUGGAGCUGGGGGCUGACGGGCGCUGUCUGUGGGAGGCUCUUACGGCUGAUACGGCUGGGGAAUAAUUAACAGCAGGAGUCUGCCAUUGCUUUGAGAAACAGGCGGGCUUUCCAAAACACCCAGAUGCCGCCUAACUUCCUUCUAGGAAGUGAAACAGGAGAGCCCCUCGUCUGU